GCUCUCGUAGUGUAGUGGUUAUCACGUCUGCUUUACACGCAGAAGGUCCCAGGUUCGAGCCCUGGCGGGAGCA